rnacentral:rRNA from 1 species
UACGGAGGGUGCAAGCGUUGUCCGGAUUUAUUGGGUGUAAAGGGCGUGUAGGCGGAGUGAUGUGUCGGGAGUGAAAUCGUGCAGCUUAACUGUAUCAAUUGCUUCCGAAACUGUCACCCUUGAGUACGAGAGGGGUAGAUGGAAUUCCAGGUGUAGCGGUGGAAUGCGUAGAUAUCUGGAAGAACACCAGUGGCGAAGGCGGUCUACUGGCUCGUAACUGACGCUGAGGCGCGAAAGUGUGGGGA